rnacentral:rRNA from 1 species
GAUACCCUGUUAUUAAAAAUGUAAUAAAAAAUGAUAGAGUAGUAAUAGUUAUAUUCUUAAAACUUAAUAAAUUUGGCGGUAUUUUAAUCUAAUCAGAGGAACUUGUUUUAUAAUUGAUAAUCCUCAUUAAAUCUUACUUAAUUUUAUUAAAUUUGUAUACCGUCGUCAUAAGAAUUUCUUUUAAAGGAAAGAAUUUUCUAAAAUUUUUAAUAGUAAUAAUGUCAGAUCAAGGUGCAGUUUAUAAUUAAGAAAAAAUGAGUUACAAUAAAAAUAUUUAUUACGAAGUUAAAAAUUAAUUUUUUUUUUGAAGGUGGAUUUGAUAGUAAAAUAAAUAAUUAACUUUAUUUGAUUUUAGUUCUAAAAUAUGCACAAAUCGCCCGUCACUCUCUGA